UGCACAACAACGUACACUGAAAAAUUACUAGAAUGGUAAAUUUUGCGUUACGUAUAUUCCACUUCAUUUUUUUUUUUUUUUUUCUUUUUGACUGUGCCUGAGGCAUGUGGAAGUUCCCAGGCCAGGGGUCAAACAUGCACUGCAGCCAGAGAACUUCUCUACUUCAUUUUUUUUUUAAUUUACCAAAAAUACAUGGGGAGUGAAAAAAAUAACAUUUCAAUGCAAGGAGGCAAACACUGUUCCUCUUCUUCAACAUGGAAAGAUGUACUAUAUGUGUAGAUGACAUCUAGGGGUGUAAUCCUGACACACUGAUGAAGAGAAACACAGGAGUGGAAGACCGACUGAGGAAAAUCUUCCAGAAGUUGGUUUGAGCCUAGAACGGUGUCUGGGAUCAACAAAUAUUUGUGGGCCGACUUAGAUUGUGUAACCUCAGGCAAGCAAGUUAAUCUCUGGGUGCCUUCGUUUCCUCAUCUGUAAAGCAGGGCAACAUGUCCUAUCUAGAUUGGUUGUGACGAUAGAUUCAACCAGUCCAUACAUCUAAAGCACAAGAACAGGGCCUGGCACAGGGUGAGAACACCUAUUAGUUAUUAGAUAUUGUUUUACAGUCAUCAGGCAGGUAGGGAGAAUGAAGAGACUCUCUCUCUCCACCUGCAGCCCCUCACAGGAGCAGCAGGGAUGGAGGCUUCCUUCUAGGUAGAUCAAUAUCAGCUGUUCUGGUGGAGUUUUGAAGACCAGUUCUAAUCUGUCUGAAUUUAAUUGACUGACUCCUUUCAAGGAUCAGAAAGUUAUUUUUAGGGGUUCCAUUGUGGCACAUCAAGUUAAGGAUCUGGCAUUGUCACUGCAGUGGCUCAGGUCACUGCUGUGGCACAGGUUCCAUCCCUGGCCCAAGAACUUCCAUAUGCUGUGGGCACAGCCCUAAAAAGAAAAAAAAAAAAACUGUCAACUUCAUACAUUCUUUGUCGCAUUUAAAGUUUUUUACUCAUAAGCAUCCUGUCUUUUAAUCCUUGUUGUUCUAAAUUUUCAUUCCUUUUUGGUACCCGUACCUCAGUGCAACUAGAGGCCCUGCCUGAUGAAGAGCACAGCUGAAAAGAUGAGCUUUGCAACCAUUCACAUUAGACCAUCCACAAACUCAUAUCUUAAUCUUUCCUAAGCAGACUUUUGACAAAAAAGAUCCUUAUAAAAAUGUGAACAACACGAGACUCUUCAUCGUAUUGAUGCCGGCUGCCACUGAAUACGUCUUUCGGUAAAUCUGAAUUGAUAAUCACAAGGGAAAAAUCUUAACAUUUUAGGAGUUUCCGUCAUGGCGCAGUGGAAACGAAUCCAGAAAGGAACCAUGAGGUUGCGGGUUCGAUCCCUGGCCUCUAUCAUGGGUUAAGGAUCUGGCAUUGCCGUGAGCAGUGGUAUGGGUUGCAGACGCAGCUUGAAUCCUGCGUUGCUGUGGCUGUGGUGUAGGCCAGCGCUACAGCUCCGAUUUGACCCCUAGCCUGGGAAUCUCCAUAUACCGUGGGUGUGGCUUUAAAAAAAAAAAAAAGGUAAGAAAGUAAAAGAAUAUAUACGUUAUGAGAGGAAUAUUCAUGAUGUGUGUGUUCAUUUUUGUUCUUACAUAUUAGCAAAUUUACAUAAACACAUAAAAAAAUGUGACAUUGACAAAUACAAACAGGCACAUGUAAUUUAUUCUGUUUUGAAGCCCAGUGCAAGCCAGAGACAUGCUAAUUCAAUAUAAAUAGCAAAGCACAUAUAACAUAGUUAUGUAUUAAAGUAAUAUAGGUAACCUGAUAUAUUAUGGUAUAAUUAAACUACAUUUUUUUUCUAAAGUGAGGCAUAAAUCCAUGUUUAUGAGGUUAAAAUUAAUUAGAUAUGGAAUAUGAAUAAAUAUAUAAUUGAAAUAGAAGAUGUAACUUGUUCUUAUUUAUUAAAUAAUGGUGAAUUAACUUAUCCCUUGAUUUUUUUUUUUUUUUUUUUUUGUCUUUUUAGGCCCAUACCCACAGCAUAUGGAAGUUCAGGCUAGGAGUGAAGUUGGAGCUACAGCUGCCCACCUACACCACAGCCACAACAAUGCCAGGUCUGAGCUGCAACCUACACCACAGCUCACAGAAAUGCAGGAUCCUUAACCCACUGAGCAAGGCCAGGAAUUGAACCCACAUCCUCAUGGAUACUAGUCGAGUUCAUUACUGCUGAGCCAUGACAAGGACUCGACGCCUUGAAAUGUUAACUGACUUCAGGUUGAAUUCGAUAAAAAGGAAAGCCAUGUGUUAUGUCACUCGAGUUGCAUGGUGGCUAUUAGAUUUGUCUCAAAGCAACAAAAACUGGGGAGUUGAAAACUGCCUCAGGCCUAAAAAGGUGUGAGCCUCAAUGAAACCUCUGUGUUUACCAACAAAAUUUAUCUGUAUAAAUAUCAGUAUUUAUUCACUUGGACAGCAUUAAAAAGAGUCAAUAUUGCUGUCAUGAGUGAGAUUCCAGAAGCCUAUAGCUGUGAUGACACCUUAGAAACUGACUUUCUGUUUAUCUGCCCUGAAAGUUAAAAGGAACAUAGGAUUUGCUGACCUCCAAGGACUGUGCAGCCUGAGAAAAUCACAUAUUUAAGUGCAGGGCAGGAAAUCUAUGUCUAAGGCACAGGAGGUGGAGUGUCAGUGACCAGUGACUUCUUCCCACUAGUCUGGGAGGUCACCUACACUCUCUGUGUUUUCAACAAAGCACUUUGAAACUUAAGGCAAGCAAGGUCUAAUCCUUACUUAAUAAGAGCUCCCAGGCUAGAAAGAAGUUCUAACAUGGUAACAAAAGGAACAUUGUCCAGUUCAGUAAAUGCUCUUGUGGAGCGCUUAUGCUAAAGUACCGUGUGCUGUUUUGUCUAAAUGUAACACAAUCCCAUGAAUGAAAGAUUUUUUUUCCCUAAAUUUUAUUUUUUGGCAAGUUUUAAAGCAAGUUUCUGAACCAUCAAAAGAAAAUGGUGCGAUGGCACAAGAAACAAAACUGUAUUUUUCAAAACAAAACUAAAUUUUGAAAAUAGGUCGUUCAUGUUCGGUUUCACAAGGGGUUGAAUGGCACGGAGCUCCAUGGAGAAUGACAGGAGUUCCUGUUGUGGCUCAGCAGUUUAGGAACCCAACCUAGUGUCCAUGAAGAUGCAGGUUGGAUCCCUGGCUUUGCUUAAUGGGUUAAGGAUCCAGUGUUGCUGCGAGUUGCAGUGUAGAUCACAGAUGCGACUCAUAUCUAGCAUUGCUGUGGCUGUGGCAUAAGCUGGCAGCUGCAGCUCUAAUUUGACCCCUAGCCUGGGAACUUCCACAUGCUGCAGGUGCGGCCAUAACAAAUAAAAAGGAGGAGAGAGAGAGAGCUAUUCAUUUCAGCAGCUGGAUGCUAAUGACUGCAUGAGGACAAUGAUAACACGUGUAAAUCCAAGAAAAUCAUCUUUUUAUACCAAGACUUGAAUUAACCUCACAUGAAAUUGCUGAGUCUGGAGCAUAAACUGAGUGAGUUAGGUCUCUUCCAAUGCCAAGAAACCUGUUCAAACUUUCUGGUCAACAGGCUUCAUGUACAGCAGGAAGGGGCCAUGAAUGCCCAUCAAGCCAUCUCUGUGGAACGCUUAUGCUAAAGUACCGUGUGCUGUUUUGUCUAAAUGUCACAACAAUCCCAUGAAUGAAAGAUUUUUUUUCCCCUAAAUUUUAUUUUAUUUUUUGGAAAGUUUUAAAGUGAGUUUCUGAACCAUCGAAAGAAAAUGGUACAAUGGCACAAGAAACAAAGCUGUGUUUUUCAAAACAAAACUGAAUUUUGAAAAUAAGUCAUUCAUGUUCAGUUUCACAAGGGGUUGAAUGGCAUGGAGCCUAACUCUGCUUCUCUCUCUUUUUUUUUUAUUAAAGUGUUGCUGAUUUACAGCGUUGCACCAAUUUCUGCUGUAGAGCAAAGUGACUCAGCCACAGAUACAUUCUUUUUUUAUGUUCUUUUCCAUCACAGUCUGUCCCGGGAGAUUGGGCAUAGUUCCCUGUGCUGUACAGCAGGACCUCAUUGCUUAUCCAUUCUAAAUGUAAUGGUUUGCACCUACUAACCCCAAACUCCCAGUCAUCCUACUCCCUCCCCCUUCCCUUUGGCAACCAUAAGUCUGUUCUCCUAUGUCUGUGAGUCUGUUUUUGUUCUGUAGAUAGGUUCAUUUGUGCCAUAUUUUAGAUUCCACAAAUGUGAUAUCAUAGGAUAUUUGUCUUUCUGACUUUUCACUUAGUGUGAUAAUCUCUGGUUGCAUCCAUGUUGCUGCAAAUGGCAUUAUUUCAUUUUUUAAUGGCUGAGUAGAAUUCCAUUGUGUAAAUAUACCACAUCUUCCUAAUCCAUUCAUCUGUCAAUAGACUUUUAAGCUGUUUCCAUGUUGUAACUGUUGUAAAUAGUGCUUCUGUGAAAAUAGGAGUGCAUGUUUCUUUUUGGAUUACAGUUUUGUCCAGAUAUAUGUCCAAGAGUGGGAUUGCUGGAUCAUAUGGUGACUCUAUUUUUAGUUUGCUGAGGAGCCUCCAUACUGUUUCCUAUAGUGGUUGUACCGACUUACAUUCCCACCAACAACGUAGUAAGGUUUCUUUUUCUCCACACCCCCUCCAGCAUUUGUUAUUUGUAGACUUAUUAAUGAUGGCCAUCCUGACUGGGAUGAGGUGGUACCUCAUUGUAGUUUUGACUUUCAUUUCUCGGUUAGUGAUAUUGAGCAUCUUUUCAUGUGCCUACUGGCCAUCGAUAUGUCUUCUUUGGAGAAAUGUCUAUUUAGAUCUGCCCAUUUUUCAGUAGGGUUGUUUGGGGUUUUUUUGGUUUUGUUUGUUUGUUUGUUUGUUUGUUUGUUUGCAUUGUAAGAGUUGUUUAUACAUUUUGAAGAUUAAGCCCUUCCUGACUGAGUUGUUUACAAAUAGUUUCUCCCCUUCUCUAGGUUGUCUUUUCAUUGUGUUUGUUUUUUAUGGUUUCCUUUGCUGUGCAGAGGCUUGUAAAUUUGAUUAGGUCCCAUUUGCUUAUUUUUGUUUUUAUUUUUAUCACCUUGGGAGACUGACCUAAGGAAACAUUUGUACCAUUUAUGUCAGAGAAUGUUUUGCCUAUGUUCUCUUCUAGGAGUUUUACGGUGUCUUGUGUCUUAUGUUUAAGUCUUUAAGCCAUUUUGAGUUCAUUUUUGCGCAUGGUGUGAGGGUGUGUUCUAGUUUCAUUGAUUUACACGCAGCUGUCCAAUUUUCCCAGCACCAUUUGCUGAAGAGACUCUUUCCAUUUUAUAUUCAUGCCUCCUUUGUCAAAGAUUAAUUGACCGUAGGUGUGAGGGUGAAUUACAGACUAAUCUCAUUUUGCAGAUGAGGAAACAAACCCAGGGAGGUUAAAUACCUUAUCAAGGUUUUUGUUGGGGCCAGGACUUCCUGAUAUGAUUACCAAAUGCAAUGGACAACAAAUCUCUCUACUGGGUAUGAAGAUGCCAUUGACGGGUUAACAUGAAAGCUGGAUUCCAAAUGAUAGAUAGGACUUUAUGAAGGGUAGGUGGGCAGAGGAGAGUGUUAUUUAAAGGGAAUAGUAUCUACCAAGACAAAGAGAAUGUAGAAAAGCUGUUCGGACAAUGUCAAGGGUCCUGAUGGGUAAGAGGGUAAGAGUUGAAGCCUGAAAAGUAGGCUGAGGCUAAUGAUAAAGGACUGAAACACAUGCUGAGACUUGAACUCUCCCCACGACAUUGUGAUUAACCACCUCCUAUUUUUUUGAACAGGAGGCAGACAUGUUCGAAUUUGUAUGUCAAAUUUGAAAUGAUAGUGGUAGGGCUUGAUGGAGGAUCCAGGCACCUGGAGGCUGGAUGAGCUCAUGAGGGUCUCAACAGUGAGAAUUUCAGCCCAGAUGUGCUGUCUGAACACCUCACCCCUCUCCUAUCCACUUUCCCACACCCUCAAAAAAAAAAAAAAAAAAAAAAAAAAAAA
rnacentral:lncRNA from 1 species